rnacentral:rRNA from 1 species
AGUGAACGCUGGCGGUAGGCCUAACACAUGCAAGUCGAACGGCAGCACAGUAAGAGCUUGCUCUUACGGGUGGCGAGUGGCGGACGGGUGAGGAAUACAUCGGAAUCUACUUUUUCGUGGGGGAUAACGUAGGGAAACUUACGCUAAUACCGCAUACGACCUACGGGUGAAAGCAGGGGAUCUUCGGACCUUGCGCGAUUGAAUGAGCCGAUGUCGGAUUAGCUAGUUGGCGGGGUAAAGGCCCACCAAGGCGACGAUCCGUAGCUGGUCUGAGAGGAUGAUCAGCCACACUGGAACUGAGACACGGUCCAGACUCCUACGGGAGGCAGCAGUGGGGAAUAUUGGACAAUGGGCGCAAGCCUGAUCCAGCCAUACCGCGUGGGUGAAGAAGGCCUUCGGGUUGGAAAGCCCUUUUGUUGGUAAAGAAAAGCAGCAGGUUAAUACCCCGCUGUUCUGACGGUACCCAAAGAAUAAGCACCGGCUAACUUCGUG